rnacentral:rRNA from 1 species
CCUACGGGCGGCAGCAGUGAGGAAUAUUGGUCAAUGGGCGGAAGCCUGAACCAGUCAAGUCGCGUGAGGGAUUAAGGCCCUGCGGGUCGUAAACCUCUUUUGCCGGGGAGCAGUGGUCCGGACGAGUCCGGGCCGGGAGAGUACCCGGAGAAAAAGCAUCGGCUAACUCCGUGCCAGCAGCCGCGGUAAUACGGGGGAUGCGAGCGUUAUCCGGAUUUAUUGGGUUUAAGGGGUGCGUAGGCGGGCAUUUAAGCCGGCGGUCAAAUGUCGGGGCUCAACCCCGGCCUGCCGUCGGAACUGGGUGCCUUGAGUGGGCGAGAAGUAUGCGGAAUGCGUGGUGUAGCGGUGAAAUGCAUAGAUAUCACGCAGAACCCCGAUUGCGAAGGCAGCAUACCGGCGCCCGACUGACGCUGAGGCACGAAAGUGCGGGUAUCGAACAGGAUUAGAUACCCGGGUAGUC